UACAGAGACUGCAAGCGUUAUUCGGAUUCACUGGGCGUAAAGGGUGCGCAGGCGGUCGUGUGUGUCAGAUGUGAAAUCCCGGAGCUUAACUCCGGAACUGCGUCUGAAACUACACGACUAGAGCAUUGGAGAGGGAGGUGGAAUUCAUGGUGUAGCAGUGAAAUGCGUAGAUAUCAUGAGGAACACCAGAGGCGAAGGCGACUUCCUGGACAAUUGCUGACGCUCAGGCACGAAAGCAUGGGGAGCAAAAGGG
rnacentral:rRNA from 1 species